CAGCCGCCACGGUAAUACGGAGGGGGCUAGCGUUGUUCGGAAUUACUGGGCGUAAAGCGCACGUAGGCGGCAUGGUAAGUUAGAGGUGAAAGCCUGGAGCUCAACUCCAGAAUUGCCUUUAAGACUGCCGAGCUAGCAGGUGAGAGAGGUAAGUGGAAUUCCGAGUGUAGAGGUGAAAUUCGUAGAUAUUCGGAAGAACACCAGUGGCGAAGGCGGCUUACUGGCUCAUACUGGACGCUGAGGUGCGAAAGCGUGGGGAGCAAACAGGAUUAGAUACCCCUGUAGUCCCUGUCUCUUAUAC
rnacentral:rRNA from 1 species